AAAAACACACCUGUUGUCUAUUUUCUUUAAAUAUUUUGUUAACCAUUAUUGUAUGAAAAACAAUAGCCAACUUUGAUGGUUUCAGCUCUCUAUUUGAAUGACUUCAAAGUCAGCUUCAGUGCUAGACAGUGCUAUCCAUGGAUACAUCAUCAA